rnacentral:rRNA from 1 species
UGGGGAAUCUUGCGCAAUGGACGAAAGUCUGACGCAGCCACGCCGCGUGAGUGAAGAAGGCCUUCGGGUUGUAAAGCUCUGUCACCUGGGACGAAAACCCAUUUGGUUAAUAGCCAAGUGGCUUGACGGUACCAGGGGAGGAAGCACCGGCUAACUUCGUGCCAGCAGCCGCGGUAAUACGAAGGGUGCAAGCGUUGCUCGGAAUUAUUGGGCGUAAAGGGUUGGUAGGUGGUCUUGUUUGUCUAAGGUG